AUUGAACGCUGGCGGCAUGCCUUACACAUGCAAGUCGAACGGCAGCACGGGAGCAAUCCUGGUGGCGAGUGGCGAACGGGUGAGUAAUAUAUCGGAACGUGCCCAGUCGUGGGGGAUAACGUAGCGAAAGCUACGCUAAUACCGCAUACGAUCUAUGGAUGAAAGCGGGGGAUCGCAAGACCUCGCGCGAUUGGAGCGGCCGAUAUCAGAUUAGGUAGUUGGUGAGGUAAAGGCUCACCAAGCCGACGAUCUGUAGCUGGUCUGAGAGGACGACCAGCCACACUGGGACUGAGACACGGCCCAGACUCCUACGGGAGGCAGCAGUGGGGAAUUUUGGACAAUGGGCGCAAGCCUGAUCCAGCAAUGCCGCGUGCAGGAUGAAGGCCUUCGGGUUGUAAACUGCUUUUGUACGGAACGAAACGGCCCUUUCUAAUACAGGGGGCUAAUGACGGUACCGUAAGAAUAAGCACCGGCUAACUACGUGCCAGCCGCCGCCGUAAAAC
rnacentral:rRNA from 1 species